rnacentral:rRNA from 1 species
UACGGGGGGUGCUAGCGUUAUUCGGAAUCAUUGGGCGUAAAGGGCGCGUAGGCGGUCUUUAAAGUCAGAUGUGAAAGCCCUCGGCUUAACCGAGGAAGUGCAUUUGAUACUAAAAGACUUGAGUAUGGGAGAGGGAAGCGGAAUUCCUGGUGUAGCGGUGAAAUGCGUAGAUAUCAGGAGGAACACCAGUGGCGAAGGCGGCUUCCUGGACCAAUACUGACGCUGAGGCGCGAAGGCGUGGGGAGCAAACAGGAUUAGAUACCCUGGUAGUCCACGCAGUAAACUGUGAACACUAGGUGUAGCGGGUAUUGACCCCUGCUGUGCCGAAGCUAACGCAUUAAGUGUUCCGCCUGGGAAGUACGGCCGCAAGGUUAAA